rnacentral:lncRNA from 1 species
GGAGUGUCUCGACAGAGGCACUUUACCAGUGAGUCUACGGAGAGCAGUAGUCACCCUGCUACCAAAAAAAGGUGACCUUGAGGACAUCAGAUGCUGGCGUCCAGUCUCUUUACUUGGAACGGACUAUAAGAUACUUUCAAAGUCUCUAACCAACAGAAUCAAACUGUACAUUUCUUCAGUCAUUCAUGUGGACCAAUCAUAUUGCAUCCCUGAACGGACUAUUUUUGAUAAUCUCUUUUUGAUUCGUGACUUGAUUUCUUUUGCCAGGGUGCAUAAGCUGGAUAUUGGUUUUCUUUCUCUGGACCAGGAGAAGGCCUUCGACCGGGUCGAUCACGUUUUCCUUUUUAAGUGUCUUGAAGCGUUUGGCUUUGGACCUUCAAUUACCUCUUAUAUUAAACUGCUGUAUACAGAUACAUAUAGCAUGUUAAAGAUUAAUGGUGUACUUACGAGGCCUUUCAGAAUAAGUAGAGGCAUACGGCAAGGGUGUGGCCUCUCAGGAAUCCUGUAUGCCAUUGCAAUUGAACCCUUAUUGGCAUUACUGAGGAACAAGUUGUGUGGCAUAUCAUCAGUGUGUCCCUUCACUUCAGACUCAACGACUGUGAAACUGAGCGCCUAUGCUGAUGAUGUCACAGUUUUUAUUAGAUCUGCUCAGGACAUUGUGGACUUAAGUGAAUCCCUAGAGAUCUAUCAAAAAGCCUCAUCAUCCCGAAUUAACUGGCAAAAGAGUGUCUCUUUUUUAUUGGGCGAUUGGGAGAAUGGAGGGCCUCCGGUACUUCCUCAGAACGUUUCCUGGAGUCUGGAUGGAUUUAAAGUGUUGGGGGUCUUUCUUGGGACUGAUCAGUUUAUUCUGAGAAACUGGGAUGGUUUUUUUGAGAAAAUUUCUGGUCGGUUAAACAGAUGGAGAUGGAUUCUGCCUCAAUUGUCCUAUAGAGGCAGAGUGCUUAUUAUUAACAAUCUGGCAGCUUCCAUGAUGUGGCAUCGCUUAAGUGUUCUUGAGCCACCAAAAGUUUUAUUGCAGCGCUUGCAGAAAGUGUUUGUUGAUUUCUUUUGGGAUGGCUAUCACUGGCUCCCUCCUGCAUAUCUCUAUUUGCCAGUUAAUGAAGGGGGACAAGGGCUGAUUGAUUUGGUGUCAAAAGUUAAAUCUAUGAGGUUAAAGACAGUCCAAACUUUACUUUACCCUGUGGUUUUUAGGCCAUGGGUUUCGUUUGGAUUAGCUCUGCUUAGAACUUUUGGUGGUUUUGGUCUUGAUAGGCAUCUGUUUCUAAUGUCUAAUUUUAAUGGAAACUUUUCGCCAGAUGUAGUGUUUUAUAAUUCUGUGCUAAACUCUUGG